UGCGUAGGCGGCUGAAUAAGUCAGUGGUGAAAGACUGUGGCUCAACCAUAGAAUUGCCAUUGAAACUGUUUAGCUUGAAUAUAGUUGAGGUAGGCGGAAUGUGUAGUGUAGCGGUGAAAUGCUUAGAUAUUACACAGAACACCGAUUGCGAAGGCAGCUUACUAAGCUAUUAUUGACGCUGAUGCACGAAAGCGUGGGUAGCGAACAGGAUUAGAUACCCUGGUAGUCC
rnacentral:rRNA from 1 species